rnacentral:miRNA from 1 species
AGGGGUGACCAAAUGUCCUGGUUUGCCUGGGACAGAGGGGCUUUCUAGGACAUGAGCCUUUAAUGCUAAAACCGG